UACGGGGGGAGCAAGCGUUGUUCGGAUUUACUGGGCGUAAAGGGCGCGUAGGCGGCCACCGCAAGUCAAUUGUGAAAUCUCCAGGCUCAACCUGGAGGGGUCAUUCGAUACUGCCAUGACUAGAGGUCGGUAGGGGAGUGUGGAAUUCCUGGUGGAGCGGUGAAAUGCGCAGAUAUCAGGAGGAACACCCGUAGCGAAGGCGGCACUCUGGGCCGAUACUGACACUGAGGAGCGAAAGCGUGGGGAGCGAACAGG
rnacentral:rRNA from 1 species